rnacentral:lncRNA from 1 species
UAUCGGCAUAUUUCUUUCCUCAGUACUUUUUUUUUUCUGGUUACAUUUCCUCAGUACUUGACCAGCGGAGAGUUUGUCUAACUCGAGACCAUUUAUUACUUAUGAAGGUUUGAUGUAUAUCAAUCUACAUGCGUUGCAAGUUUGAAGAAGUUUAGAUGCCACGUCACUACAUAGCAGAACAUUGGUAGAGAUUUUUCUGACAC